rnacentral:sRNA from 1 species
CUCCAACGUCAGCCAGCUCCCAAGCGGUUGGGCCUCCAUCCUUUGGUACAACAUGCUGGUGGCGGAACCCAGGAAUCUGUCCUUCUUCCUGACUCCACCAUGUGCACGAUGGGCUCAGCUUUCAGAAGUGCUGAGUUGGCAGUUUUCUUCUGUCACCAAAAGAGGUCUCAAUGUGGACCAGCUGAACAUGUUGGGAGAGAAGCUUCUUGGUCCUAACGCCAGCCCCGAUGGCCUCAUUCCGUGGACGAGGUUUUGUAAGGAAAAUAUAAAUGAUAAAAAUUUUCCCUUCUGGCUUUGGAUUGAAAGCAUCCUAGAACUCAUUAAAAAACACCUCCUCCCUCUCUGGAAUGAUGGGUGCAUCAUGGGCUUCAUCAGCAAGGAGCGAGAGCGUGCCCUGUUGAAGGACCAGCAGCCGGGGACCUUCCUGCUGCGGUUCAGCGAGAGCUCCCGGGAAGGGGCCAUCACAUUCACAUGGGUGGAGCGGUCCCAGAAUGGAGGCGGUGAGCGGGAGUUUGAGCACAUAGUCCCACUGUUUGAUGUGUGUGAAGUCCCUCUUCAUCACCGCCAGUCAGCUCAUACAGAUAGUGCGUUUGGGACAUGAAAGUGCAGAUCUUAUACUUACCCCAAAUGAGUCCCCGAUAGGAUUUAAUAAACCACCACAAAUGUUUGUGGUUCACUCUCUGGAACAUAUUGUGGAAAUGAUGGUUUUGAAAAGACAAUGCCAAUUCUUUCCUUUGCAUCAGGUUUGUUAUCUGCAGAUCAAGGAUGUGAGUCAAUGUAAUCUGCAACCCAUUCUUGGAAGGAAUCACAUUUCCCACAGGAGUAAGCAUCCACAUUCUCUUAGGGUCAUCCUAGAGUA